UGCCAGCAGCCGCGGUAAUACGGAGGAUGCGAGCGUUAUCCGGAUUUAUUGGGUUUAAAGGGUGCGCAGGCUGUUUGUUAAGUCAGAGGUGAAAUCCCGGAGCUCAACUCCGGAACGGCCUAUGAUACUGGCAAACUUGAGUGUAAUUGAAGUGGGCGGAAUAUGUCAUGUAGCGGUGAAAUGCAUAGAUAUGACAUAGAACACCGAUAGCGAAGGCAGCUCACUAACUUACAACUGACGCUCAUGCACGAAAGCGUGGGGAGCGAACAGGAUUAGAUA
rnacentral:rRNA from 1 species